GGCCUAUUAGCUCAGUUGGUUAGAGCAUCGAGCUAAUAAUACGAAAGUCGCGGGUUCGAUCCCCUCAUGGGCCA
rnacentral:tRNA from 1 species